rfam:Anopheles quadriannulatus strain QTAD4_A unplaced genomic scaffold supercont1.15, whole genome shotgun sequence.
CCUUCGAUAGCUCAGUUGGUAGAGCGGUGGACUGUAGCGAAAAUUCGGAGGGUUGCUUUCAAGUCAAAAUGCACUUGAUCAAACCUCCAAGAGUUGUAAAAGAAAUCCAUAGGUCACUGGUUCAAAUCCGGUUCGAAGGA